GAGCUGUUCACCGUUUUAGAAAAGCACAUGACUGAUGGCAGCACUGCCCUGGCACCAAAGGAGCUGAUACACGGAAACACCGUGUCAGGGGCUGUGCAGCCACGCUAAUGCUACAUUUAGAUGCAAGAAUUUGACAGCUUCAUUACUGUGAUUGUCCCUGAGCACUUAUGUAAGGAAAGAGGCUGUUCUCCCCACCAGCUCCCAGGCCCACAGCAUCUGUGCCUGAGUUCCUCAGCAUUUGGAGAGGAGGUGGCCACUGGUUGUACUGACCCCAGACCGCUGUCAUAGGGCACCUCAUUUCCUCCUCACAACCACCCUGCCAGGCAGAUAUUGCUAUCACCAUUUAACAAGGAAAAGGAUGAGAUUCAGAGAGGCACAGUAACCACGCUUUCAGCUGCGAGGUACAGAACACUCAGCCACAAGUGGCUGAGACGGAAGCUUCCUGACACUAACGGGGAAAAGAAACAGUGGCCAGAGACUGUUUCCUGAAAAAUGUGCAGGAAGGGUAAUGCGGAGGCCAAGACAAAUGUGUGGGAUGAGCUCCAGCCGGGCCUCAAAACAGAAGCUGAUGACAAGUUGAUGCUUUUGUUUCUUCCACAUUUCCUUAUAGUUGGCAGGAAAAAAAAAAUUGAUUUGGAAGGAGGUAGGAAGGUCACUUCAUAGUUAGAAACAGAUCAGCACUUGACACUUUUCUACGUUUCCCAGAUGAGUUACUGUCACUCUGGGCAGCAACAAGCAAACUGUGUACUUUAACUCUCUUCUUUUUAUUAAAGGAAAUGGCAGAAAUAAUGAGGAAUAUAUUUUUCUGUACAAGAGGCAAACAAUAUAAAAAUCUACAGGGCAAAAUUCCUAAGUUCACACUCCAAUGAACUCCCCUUUCAGAGAUAAUCAGGAUCAGUCGUCUGAUGUAUAUUUUUACAGUUAUCUUUCUAUAUACUUACCUAUUUUGGAGCACACAGAUAUAUUUUAUUAUUUUAUUGUUUGUUUUUGGUGAUUUGGGUAUUUUUAAAUGUAAACUGUGAUGUCUGUAACUUACUUAUUUCAUUUCACAAUAUGGUUGUGUGAUCUUUUCAUAUUAGUACUUGUAGGUCCGCUUAGUUAUUUUUGUAUUAUUUUAAAGAAUUUAGUAAAUAUUGAGAAAGCCUUAAGAAAACACAAAAAGUCUAACACUAAAAUAUUUAUGGAUGAAAUUAUACGAUUCUGAGAUAUGCUUAUAAAUCAUCUGGCAAUGGAGAAGCAGCAGCUUGGGAUAUAAAUAUAACAGGGUUGGCUGUGCACUCAGCACGGUUGAAGGUGGGUAGACAGGGUGUGCUAUGUUAGUCUCUCCAUUUUGCAUACAUUUGAAAUUUUCCAUAGUAAAAUGUAAAAACAUAUAUGAGGCAUAAACUAUUGCAGUUUACCAAAUCUCUGAUUUUGCCAUAGCUCACAGGCUUCUGGGGCUCCUAGGAGGCCUUGUCACAUUCCACAUUUUUUCUGCAAGAGCUCAAAAGUUGCCUUCUCUGGAAGCUUCCGUGACUUCAGCAGAUGUAAGCUGCCUCUGCUUUACCCUUACUACACUUUUUAUGUAUACCCCCAACACACACAACACACUCACACUCACACAUUAAAGGAAUUAUCUUACUAAAUUGAGAUUUAGAGAAAUAGCUGUCAGUGGUUAAGCCCCUAAUCUGUAACAUACAUGAUAUCUACAUUAGUUUAUUUACUCCUCCAACGGCUCUGAGAGGUAAGAUCUUUUUGUCCUCAUUUAUAGGUAUGGAAACUGAGGCUUAAACAGAUUUUGAUUUGUCCCAGCCUAGUUCUUUCUUUUUUAUUCUCAAUCAAUGUUAUAUCAUUUUGUCAAUCACUAUUUUCAUCUAAGUGUAUGUGAAAAGUUAUCAGUAGAAAACUGAGAAGCAAGCACAAAUCUAACUAAGAAGGAACAUUGCCACUAUUAGAUGAAGGGUCCCUGAAAAAGAUGCGCUGAAGAGAGUGUCUGAGUCAUAGUCUGAAUUUAGCUUGCUUGGGAGUUUUACAAGACCCCUUCUGGGCAAGGCCAUGACAGAGUCUUAGGAAGCAUAGGGCUUACAGCUGGCAAGCCUGUAGCGUGGGCCCAGUGCUGGUUAACCAGUAGGAACAUGGUCAGUAGGAAGAGACUGCUCUGUAUUUUCUACUUCAAAGCUUACCUUCAGAUCUCAGGAAUGGGCAAAUCAGAAUACUUCUUAGGGGGCAGGGAGUAUCCUCAGCUGAUCCUGGCUGUAGGGUGUAGAGAGGAGGGAGAAACUUCAUUAGCACAGGAUCAGUGCUGGCCAAGGACAGAUAAGAAUCUGAGCCAGGCUUGCCUGGGAACUUUUUCCUCCAGGUAAAGACAUUAUGAUGACUGUAGAUAGCUUGGUGAUAACAGUCCUCACUGUGUCGGUCUCUGAAAUCGUACUACUUCCAUUUGAACUCAUUGCUCUCCACGUCAUAUGCACAUCCUCUUUGAGAUUCCCUUGACCUCUCUGUCUCCUGCGUUGGAUUCUCUGUUUCUGUAUCCCAGGUUUUCCCCUUUCUUGGUUCACUCUGUCAUUUUGGUGGAGCACAUCUUCAGUAGCCUCUUGGAUGCAUGGGAGGUGAGUUUUCAGACCUUGAAUCCCUGAAAAUGUCUCUAUUAAUUUACUCUAACAACUGAUUGAUAGUUCAGCUGAGUGUGAAAUUCUAGGAUGGUAAUAAUUUUCUCUCAGACCUUUAAAGGCAUUGAUUCAUUGUGCUCUGGCUUCCAGUGUUGCUGUUGAGAAUCUAAAGCCAGACUGACUCUUGAUCCAUUUAUUGUGACUUUUUUCUUUCUCUCUGGAAGUGUAUAAAAUCUUCUCCUUUUUCCAGGAAUUGUGAAAUUUCAUAAUUGUGUGUCUUGGUAUGAGUCUACUUUCAUCCGCUAUGUUAGAAACUUAGUGGGUCUUUUACUCUGUCACUUAAUGCUAGAAGUAAGUUACUUUCAAUUCUGGGAAAUCUUCCUGAAUUCUCCCCCAUUUUUUAUGUGCUCUCUUUCUGGAAUGCCUAUUCUUUGUUUCCUGAACUACGACUUAUUCUCUAAUUGUAAAAAAUUUUCUUUCCUUUCUUUGCCUUUGCCUUUUCAUUCUACUUUCUGCAAUAUCCCUUCAAUAUUAUCUUUCAACUCUUCUGUUAAGUUUUUCAUUUCAACCAUUAUAUAUUUUUUUUUAUUUCCAAGGGAUCUUUUUUGCUCUCUGAAUUUUUAAAAAUAGCAUGCAUAUUUUAUAGCAUUUUUCUCAAGUUCCAUGGAACCAGGUAGAAUGACAAUAGAGACCCUGAAUCAGAGGACAUAUGUGGUAACAGCCAGAGGGUUCAUGUUCUUAUUUUUUGAGAUCAUGAAGUCUAUUUCCUUCAAGGUAAUUUGCAGUCUUUUUCCUAGCAUGGAGCCUGCCAGCCUGCUUCUACCUGGAUCCUAUUUGCCACCUUGGAACAGAAGCUGUCUUGUCAAUGUGUGCAAUGAUUACAUUGGGCGAAGAUGGAGAAGCACAGAACAUUUAUCAACAUACACCAUAUGUUGGGCUAUAAAACAAGUCUUUUUUUUUUUUUUUUUCGAGGAAGAUUAGCCCUGAGCUAACAUCUGCCACCAAUCCUCCUCUUUUUGCUGAGGAAGACUGGCCCUGAGCUAACACCUGUGCCCAUCUUCCUCUAUGCUAUGUGGGAUGCCUACCACAGCAUGGCUUGACAAGUAGUGCAUAGGUCUGCACAUGGGAUCCGAGCCAGCUAACCCCAGGCCACCAAAGUGGGAAGUGUGCACUUAACCACUGUGCCACCGGGCCAGCCCCAAAACAAGUCUUAAUAAAUUUAAAAGAAUUGAAAUCACACAGAGUAUACCUUCUAUGUGACCCAAGUGGAAUUUAGGUAGCAAUAAAUGAUGGAAAGUUAUCCAGAAAAACCCUAAAUUUUUGGAAAUUAAACAACAUACUUCUGAAUAACCCAUAAAUCAAGUAAGAAAUCUCAAAGGAAAUUAGAAAAUAUUUUGAGCUGAAUGAUAACGAAAAUACAACAUAUCAGAAUUUGUGGGUUACAGCAAAAGCACUGGGAAAGUUAUACACUUAAACACUUAUAUUAGAAAAGAAGAAAUUUAUAAAAUCAAUUAUCUAAGUGUCAAUCUUAAAAAGAGAGAAAAAAGAAAAGCAAACUAAUUGCAAAAUAAGUAGAAGAAAUAAAAUAAUCAAAAUAAGAUUGGAAAUCAAUUAAAUAGAAAAAUAGAAAAUCAACAGUCAAAUCUUAUUCUUUGAAAAGAUUAAUAGAAUUGAUAAACUACUGAUAAGGCUGAUUAAGAAGAAAAAAAACCAGAAAAACCAGGAAGAAUAAAAACAGGGACGUCACUAUAGAUUUUAGAGACAUUAAAAAAACUGACAAGGAGGAUAUUAUGGACAAGCUUAUCCCAAGAAAAUCAACAACUUAGAUGAAUAUAUACUAUUUAUUGAAUAAGCUAACUUUUUUUCUGAAUGGCUUGAGAUAUCACCUUUAUUAUACACUAAUUCAUAUAUUUACAUGGAGGUGUGGGUUCGGAUGUUUCCACCUUCUAUUUUACAUUCCAUUAUUCCGUUUGCUCCAAGAGCAAGUAUUCUAGGGAACAAGUGGGAAGCUGCAUCACCUUUUCUGACCCAGCCUCAGAAGUCACACAGGGCCGCUUCUGCUGCGUUUCGUUGGUUAAAAGCAAAUUAUAAGCCCACCUGGGUUCAGCGGGAGUAUAUGUAGACUCCAUUUCUCAGGGGGAGGAGUGCCAAAGAAUUUGUAGCUAUUUAAAAAAAAAAUCUGUGCUGUCUUCAGUGGUAAUGCUUCAAUGUUUUUAUUAAGUAUAGUAUUUUCUGUAGAUUUUGGACAAAUAUCCUUUAUAGCUUUGAGGAUCUCUCAGGUUAGAAUUAUGAGCAAAUAGAAAGAAAUAGCAGUUGUCAUUUGUUUUUCUCACAGAUAAAUUAAUAUAUUAAUUCAUGAGGCAAAGUUUUCUGGGUUUUUUGGUGAGGAAGAUUGGCCCUAAGAUAACAUCUGUUGCCAAUCUUCCUCUUUUUGCUUGAGGAAGAUUGUCACUGAGCUAACAUCUAUGCCAAUCUUCCUCUAUUUUGUAUGUGGGACGCCGCCACAGCAUGGCUUGAUGAGCAAUGUGUAGGUCCACACCUAGGAUUCAGACCCGUGAGCCCCGGGCUGCAGAAGCAGAGCAUUCAACCUUAACUACUAUGCCACCAGGCCAGCCCCCAUGGAGCAAAGUUUUUAAAAAUAAACUUAUAUUGCCAGAUUUGUGAAAUCUGGCUACACAGAUGAAAUCUACUACACAAUACCAAAUACUAUUUAGAUUCUAAACUUUGGAUAUUAAAUCUUUGUCUAGAAUAUUUUACCACAUAAGUGGGAUGUUAUUCUUUAUGAAUUGUAAUUUGGCUGAUACUAUUUAGCAAUAUCCACCAUAUAUUGCAAAGAGGCUCAUAGAGAAGAGAAUGAUUUGUUUUGUAAAAUGUGAGAAAUUUCUUAUAGAACAACACAUUUAUUUUUCACACAAAGGAGACAUUUUUCCUCCAAUCGUGAAUCUAGACAAUGAUCAGCUAAAUACAUUUAAUUGCACUAAUACUGCAAAUCUUUCUAUAGAAUCCUUCUGAAUUAGAUUAUAUUAGACCACAUUGUGAGCUCUUUAAGCAAGACUAAGUGGUCUCCAUUCCUAAACCCACAUUUAUCACUUCAAAGAUGAGGAAAGGCUGAUCUGGAGCAUAAAGACCAAAGAGGAGAAUGGACAAGAACCAGAAUAUAAGCCCCAAUCUCUAGAACUGAGCUGAUUUAAGCCAUCUGCAGAAGACCUUGCUAGAACAGGGAUUGGUGCAGCUUCUCUGGGCCAAUCUUCCCGGCCGCACAAGUAGUAAUAAGAAGGGAACUCAACGGCUGCUCUAGAGGGAAAGCAGAGCUCUCCGCCAAAGAAGGAUAUUUACACAAUACAGCAUUAUUCAUGUACUUUUGGCCCCUAGAAAACAUAGCCCAAGUGGUGUUCUUAACCUUGGUACAUACCCAUGCUUGGGAAAGAUGUGGAGGGAUGGGGAGGUGAGGAGGUGGGGAGAAAUCUGGAGUGUAAAGAAGCUUGGGUUUCCAUUGGCACCCCUUUUUUCCUAGAGGGAUAUUGAGACCCAGUAACUGGGUUAAACUGAUGUUCCCAUCUCAGUUAACUCAUGAUGUAGGAAUAAUAAAUUUACAUAUCAAUGUGUGGGCUUAUCUUCAUGAACUCACCAUCCAAUAAAGGGGGGAAAAUGAUACUGUGAGGUUUUUUUUUUUUUUUCACCAUCAAGCAUUAAAAACUUAUCUUCUCUUUAACUGCUUUCCCCAGUGACAUCAAGUGAGUUAUAUGUGAAAUGGAUAUUUCUGAGUUUGCAGCAGUAGAAAAAGAAAGAAGUAGUAAUUGGACCAAAGGAGAGACAUUUAAAAACGGUAUCAAAAUAUGAGUACUGACGUCCCGUCCCCAAUCCUUUGUGACAACGCUUGGAAGUGGCAGCAAUACCAGGUUUCCAUUUAGCCACUUGCCAAAUUUACUGCCUUUUAAACAACUUUAGAUGUCAUUCUUAUUUUGAUAAACGCAGGGAUAGGGCUGGGAAAUGUCCGCCCGGCAUGUUAUAAUAUAUUCAGCUCAUAUACUGUUUAAACUCUAGGAAAUGUGAUCCCUGCAUACAUUCUGACUCUCCCUCUUCUUUGGGGGGUUUUACCCAUAUUUGAACAGUUCUUGAUAUACCUAUUGUCUGAUUGGGAAUUCUGCCUUCUAAUCUGGCUCAUUGAUUAACUUCUGAGUGGUUUGAGAUAAAUCCUGCUAAUUGCUUAGUUUGUUUUCUUGUUUGUGAAGCGCUAGAAUAAACCUCUUGUGAACGUGCCUGGGCCACAUUUUAGAAGUUGGUCACUCCUGUAACAGAUUUGGAAAUAUUGCAGUAAUUUCAGAACUGGAUAAAGAAAUGUAUCUUGAAAUAAAAAAGCACUUAAGCCUGUAGAAUGCACCCUAGCUCGGUAUGAAUUGCUUAUCAGGCAGUAUAUCAAAUCUAGGUUGGUUAGUCAGUAAGCUGGAAGCAAACAAAAUAAAUGGGAAUAAAGUGUUUAACAGAUGCUGGGUUUGAGCCCACGCCACAUGGUGGCAGGCUUACUCUAUGCUGGGCUUCCUCUUCAGGACGAAACACACACACACACACACACACAGAUGGGAAAUACAAAGUUCAUUAGGAAACAAAUCUUAAUGCUUGAUUUUAACUAUAUUAAACCACAUCUUUUAGGAAGCUGACUUUCAGAAAGGAGGCCAUAAGUUAUUAGUUUGUCAAGAUUAUAUUUUCUUAUCAAAAUGUUGUUUACAUUGUAUGGUACUUGAGAAGCAAUGAUUUGACCUUGUGAAGGACAUUCUACUUCUAGAUCUCAAUUUCUUCAUCGCUAAAAUGAUGAGUUUGGAUUACUCACGGUUCUAAAAUCAUCAUCCCUUUGUUAUAACUAAAAUAAGGCCUAAAUAUUCUUCUUCAGUAACACGAAUUUCAGUCACACUGUGGUUAACUUGAUAGGGAAUAUGGUUUCCGGGGUUAGAUUGCCUCGGUUUGAGUUCGAGCACUGCCAUUUAUUCACUGUGAGCUAUUAGGUGAGGAAGUUCGCCUAUCAAAAUUUCGCUUCCUCAUCUGUAAAGUGAUAUAAAUUAUAGUACAUAUCUUACGGAAUUGUUAGGAUUAAAUGGAAAAAAUAAUGUAUGUGUGGCAGAGACUGGCAAACUGUUCACGAAACCCUUUCUUUUUCUCCCUGGGCAAAUAGGUUAAACCACAUUUCCCAUCUCCACCUGCAGUUGGUUGAGGCCACGUGACUGAAUUCCGGCCAAUGGAACGUGAGCAGAAGAGAUGCGUGCUGCUUCCAGGCUCAGCUCACAAAAAUCUGCCAUUGUGGUCCCCCUUGUUUUUUCCCCUUCUGCGAGUUCCCCCUGGAAGCCACAUGUUAAGGAUGGUGAAACCACAAAGUGGAAGGAAACUUGGUCCCCGAAUCACAGCUUGAAGGAGAGAUUUAUGCCUGUUAGAAACACUCGCUUUGGACUUUACAUGAGUGAGAAGUAUACUUCUAUUUUGUUAAGCCAUGAGAUUCUUGGGUUUAUCUAUUAAGGCAGCUGGCAUUAACUAAAAUAUCAUGUAAAGCAUUCUGCAAAAUACCUGACAAAAUACCUGCUGAAUAAAUGUUAGUGUUAUUGGUAUCGUGACUCUUAAUAAUACAAACCUAGAGCCUAAAACUCCACAGCAAUAGUGUGGAGCUCCCUUCUGCAGUUUACAUGACUUGGCCUUUUUUUUUAGGCUACAGAAGGUCUAGGAAAUAAAGUUGUAUGUGGAAGUAGUAAUAACCAGAGUUAUUCAUAUGCGUAACUUGCAGAAAGUCAGUAUUUUGUAUUUAUAUUUUCUGCAUUUUUUCCCAAAAGAUUAACAGAAUAUAAAAGAAGGGAAGUCAAAUAAAAAAUUCAAGUUGCUGUCAUCUUUAAAAUAAUAUUUAAAAUUAUUUCUUCCUUGUGAUGACUUCAGUCUGUCUUAUGAGUCACUCGAUUUCUCUCACUAUUUCACUCGAUGCUCACCUUUCUUUCUUGAAAUUGUCUUCUUU
rnacentral:lncRNA from 1 species